rnacentral:rRNA from 1 species
GCGAGUAAUACGUGGGUAACCUGCCCCCGAGAUGGGGACAACCCGCCGAAAGGCGGGCUAAUACCGAAUACGAUGCGGUGGUCACAAGAUCGCCGCAUGAAAGGCGGGGACCGCUUCGGCGGCCUGUCGCUCGGGGAGGGGCUCACGGCCUAUCAGCUUGUUGGUGAGGUAAUGGCUCACCAAGGCGAUGACGGGUAGCCGACCUGAGAGGGUCACCGGCCGCACUGGGACUGGGACACUGCCCAGACUCCUACGGGAGGCAGCAGAGGAGAAUCAUUCACAAUGGGCGAAAGCCUGAUGAUGCAACGCCGCGUGCGGGAUGAAGGCCUUCGGGUUGUAAACCGCUGUCAGGAGCUAGGAAAGGUCCGGGUGCUAAUAUCACCCGGAAUUGACUGGGCUCCAGAGGAAGCUCCGGCUAACUACGUGCCAGCAGCCGCGGUAAUACGUAGGGAGCAAGCGUUACUCGGAAUUACUGGGCAUAAAGGGGGCGUAGGCGGAUAUGACAGUCCGAUGUGAAAGCCCUCGGCUCAACCGGGGAAUGCCAUCGGAUACUACAUAUCUUGAGUAUGGGAGGGGAGAGUGGAACUCUUGGUGGAGCGGUGAAAUGCGUAGAUAUCAAGAGGAACGCCGGUGGCGAAAGCGACUCUCUGGCCCAUCACUGACGCUGAGGCCCGAAAGCCAGGGUAGCGAACGGGAUUAGAUACCCCGGUAGUCCUGGCCCUAAACGAUGAGCACUAGGUAGAGGUGGCUCCGAUGUUAUCUCUGCUGUAGCUAAUGUGUUAAGUGCUCCGCCUGGGGAGUACGGUCGCAAGGCCGAAACUCAAAGGAAUUGACGGGGGCUCGCACAAGCGGUGGAGGAUGUGGCUCAAUUCGAGGCAACGCGAAGAACCUUACCGGGCCUUGACAUGUUGGUAGUACGAACCUGAAAGGGUAAGGACUCCUUUACGGGAGAGCCAACACAGGUGUUGCAUGGCUGUCGUCAGCUCGUGUCGUGAGAUGUCGGGUUAAGU